rnacentral:lncRNA from 1 species
AACUGUUUGAUUCUUUGAUUUUGUUAUUUAUUUCUUGUUACUAUGUGUUCUUCUCCGCGAUUUUGAGCAUCUUCUACUUUAGCUCUAAAUAUUUGUCUCACUGAUUACCUUCCUAAGGUUUUCAUCUAGUUUGUACUAUGAUCUCUUCACAAUGUUCUGCUCUUGUUCCUCUCUGUCUAUGAUAUCUUUUGUGCGCUGACUUGUACUGGAAACCCUAAUUUCAAAGGGUAUUUGUCAUUCACCUUUCUCUGUGAAACCAUAGCUACC